rnacentral:rRNA from 1 species
GAUGAACGCUGGCGGCGUGCCUAAUACAUGCAAGUUGAGCGCUGAAGGUUGGUACUUGUACCAACUGGAUGAGCAGCGAACGGGUGAGUAACGCGUGGGGAAUCUGCCUUUGAGCGGGGGACAACAUUUGGAAACGAAUGCUAAUACCGCAUAAAAACUUUAAACACAAGUUUUAAGUUUGAAAGAUGCAAUUGCAUCACUCAAAGAUGAUCCCGCGUUGUAUUAGCUAGUUGGUGAGGUAAAGGCUCACCAAGGCGAUGAUACAUAGCCGACCUGAGAGGGUGAUCGGCCACAUUGGGACUGAGACACGGCCCAAACUCCUACGGGAGGCAGCAGUAGGGAAUCUUCGGCAAUGGACGAAAGUCUGACCGAGCAACGCCGCGUGAGUGAAGAAGGUUUUCAGAUCGUAAAACUCUGUUGGUAGAGAAGAACGUUGGUGAGAGUGGAAAGCUCAUCAAGUGACGGUAACUACCCAGAAAGGGACGGCUAACUACGU